GCAUGGUGACUGAGUGGUAAAGUGCCUGACUUCUUAAAUGAGAAGUCCCAGGUUCAAGUCCUGGUCUAUGUA
rnacentral:tRNA from 1 species